UGGGGAAUCUUGCGCAAUGGGCGAAAGCCUGACGCAGCAACGCCGCGUGCGGGAAGAAGGCCUUCGGGUUGUAAACCGCUUUCAGAAGGAACGAAACUGACGGUACUUUCAGAAGAAGGUGCGGCCAACUACGUGCCAGCAGCCGCGGUGACACGUAGGCACCAAGCGUUGUCCGGAUUUAUUGGGCGUAAAGAGCUCGUAGGCGGUUCGGUAAGUCGGGUGUGAAAACUUUGGGCUCAACCCAAAGCGUGCAUUCGAUACUGCCGUGACUAGAGUUCGGUAGGGGAGUGGGGAAUUCCUAGUGUAGCGGUGAAAUGCGCAGAUAUUAGGAGGAACACCGGUGGCGAAGGCGCCACUCUGGGCCGAAACUGACGCUGAGGAGCGAAAGCGUGGGUAGCAA
rnacentral:rRNA from 1 species